rnacentral:rRNA from 1 species
UACGUAGGGUGCGAGCGUUAAUCGGAAUUACUGGGCGUAAAGCGUGCGCAGGCGGUUCGUCAAGUCUUGUGUGAAAGCCCCGGGCUCAACCUGGGAAUGGCAUGGGAAACUGGCGAGCUGGAGUGCGGCAGAGGGGGGUGGGAAUUCCUGGUGUAGCGGUGAAAUGACGCAGAUAUCAGGAGGAACACCGAUGGCGAAGGCAGGUCUCUGGGCCGAUACUGACGCUGAGGAGCGAAAGCGUGGGGAGCGAACAGG